AUUGAACGCUGGCGGCAUGCUUUACACAUGCAAGUCGAACGGUAACAGGGUGCUUGCACCGCUGACGAGUGGCGAACGGGUGAGUAAUGCGUCGGAACGUGCCGAGUAGUGGGGGAUAACGCAUCGAAAGGUGUGCUAAUACCGCAUACGUACUGAGGUAGAAAGUGGGGGAUCUUCGGGCCUCACGCUAUUCGAGCGGCCGACGUCUGAUUAGCUAGUUGGUGAGGUAAAGGCUCACCAAGGCGACGAUCAGUAGCGGGUCUGAGAGGAUGAUCCGCCACACUGGGACGGAGACACGGCCCAGAUUCCUACGGGAGGCAGCAGUGGGGAAUUUUGGACAAUGGGCGCAAGCCUGAUCCAGCCAUGCCGCGUGUCUGAAGAAGGCCUUCGGGUUGUAAAGGACUUUUGUCCGGGAGCAAAUGCCUGGUGUUAAUAGCACUGGGAGCUGAGAGUACCGGAAGAAUAAGCACCGGCUAACUACGUGCCAGCCGCCGCGGUAAGAC
rnacentral:rRNA from 1 species